rnacentral:rRNA from 1 species
UGGUAAAGCCUCUAAUAAUCCUG